rfam:Candida parapsilosis strain CDC317 mitochondrial contig 006121
GACCAUAUGAUCUAAAGGUUAUGAUAUGACUUCUUCGUAGUCGUUAUACGAGUUCGAAUCUCGUUGUGGUUA